rnacentral:rRNA from 1 species
CCUACGGGUGGCAGCAGUGGGGAAUAUUGGACAAUGGGCGAAAGCCUGAUCCAGCCAUGCCGCGUGUGUGAAGAAGGCCUUCGGGUUGUAAAGCACUUUCAGUGGGGAAGAAAGCCUUGGGGCUAAUACCCUCGAGGAAGGACAUCACCCACAGAAGAAGCACCGGCUAACUCCGUGCCAGCAGCCGCGGUAAUACGGAGGGUGCGAGCGUUAAUCGGAAUUACUGGGCGUAAAGCGCGCGUAGGCGGUCUGAUAAGCCGGUUGUGAAAGCCCCGGGCUCAACCUGGGAACGGCAUCCGGAACUGUCAGGCUAGAGUGCAGGAGAGGAAGGUAGAAUUCCCGGUGUAGCGGUGAAAUGCGUAGAGAUCGGGAGGAAGACCAGUGGCGAAGGCGGCCUUCUGGACUGACACUGACGCUGAGGUGCGAAAGCGUGGGUAGCAAACAGGAUUAGAUACCCGUGUAGUC